UCUAGAACUCGUGAUAUGGGCUGAACACUGAAUAGUGUCAAGGCUAUAGGACAGAUUCUAACUUCUCUUUUGUUGCUACAAUUUGAACUUGCAAACAACCGUUUUGAAUCUUGGACUCCUCAUAAAAGUUUUAGGCCUAUAUCUUAGCUUUCCAUC
rfam:Populus trichocarpa scaffold_2_contig_205, whole genome shotgun sequence.